CUCUGAUCCAGCAAAUGGUUCAGGGCAAAGGAG
ncrna:unclassified sequences L31-Firmicutes ribosomal protein leader